AUGUUACUGUUUGUAGCUGCUUUUGAAGUCAAUUAUCUUGGAUUCACCGUAUUGUGCAUAAGGAGCAUAGGGUUUUGAAGGGUGAGCAAACGCAGAUCACUCUUUCGAAUUUGUUUGAGAAUUCAGCUGAACAAGAUGUCAAGUCAAGAUGCAUCAAAUGAACCUCAACAUGAGAUGUCAGAUAGUAUUUUGCAAGAGCAUAGUUUGGAAACCGAAAGUGACAUCAAUCAGGUAGAAUAUAAUGGUAUUAGAUAUGAUAAGUUGUCUCCAGAAGGCCUUAU
rnacentral:lncRNA from 1 species